GCUGCAACUGUUUAUUAAAAACACAGCACUGUGCAAAAUCGUAAGAUGACGUAUACGGUGUGACGCCUGCCCGGUGCCGGAAGGUUAAUUGAUGGGGUUAGACUUCGGUCGAAGCUCUUGAUCGAAGCCCCGGUAAACGGCGGCCGUAACUAUAACGGUCCUAAGGUAGCGAAAUUCCUUGUCGGGUAAGUUCCGACCUGCACGAAUGGCGUAAUGAUGGCCACGCUGUCUCCACCCGAGACUCAGUGAAAUUGAAAUCGCUGUGAAGAUGCAGUGUACCCGCGGCUAGACGGAAAGACCCCGUGAACCUUUACUACAGCUUGGCACUGAACAUUGACCCUACAUGUGUAGGAUAGGUGGGAGGCUUUGAAGCACGUACGCCAGUAUGUGUGGAGCCGUCCUUGAAAUACCACCCUUGUAGUGUUGAUGUUCUAACGUCGACCCCUAAUCGGGGUUGCGGACAGUGCCUGGUGGGUAGUUUGACUGGGGCGGUCUCCUCCCAAAGAGUAACGGAGGAGCACGAAGGUGGGCUAAUCACGGUUGGACAUCGUGAGGUUAGUGCAAUGGCAUAAGCCCGCUUGACUGCGAGAAUGACAAUUCGAGCAGGUGCGAAAGCAGGUCAUAGUGAUCCGGUGGUUCUGAAUGGAAGGGCCAUCGCUCAACGGAUAAAAGGUACUCCGGGGAUAACAGGCUGAUACCGCCCAAGAGUUCAUAUCGACGGCGGUGUUUGGCACCUCGAUGUCGGCUCAUCACAUCCUGGGGCUGAAGUCGGUCCCAAGGGUAUGGCUGUUCGCCAUUUAAAGUGGUACGCGAGCUGGGUUUAGAACGUCGUGAGACAGUUCGGUCCCUAUCUGCCGUGGGCGUUGGAAGAUUGAAGGGGGCUGCUCCUAGUACGAGAGGACCGGAGUGGACGAACCUCUGGUGUUCGGGUUGUGUCGCCAGACGCAUUGCCCGGUAGCUAAGUUCGGAAUCGAUAACCGCUGAAAGCAUCUAAGC
rnacentral:rRNA from 1 species